UUUUUAUUAUUAUUACUAUUAUUACUAUUAUUAUUAUUAUUAUUAUUAUUAUUAUUAUUAUUAUUAUUGUCGGAGUAAGAAGUAUAAAAAACAAAAAGUAAAGUUCCUUGAAAAUUUGAGACGGAAAGCGCGUUUCGAGAUAUGACGUGACGAUAAUUCUCGUUAUAUUGUAAUAAGAUGGAUAAAUUCUAUCUUUUCGUUGGACGAAGCCCUUUGGCAGCAAAACUCGAAUCACGUUUUCCGUAUCACGAGAACAGACUGCCAUUGUGUUGGACUUUUUUUGUAAUAAAUGCAUAUAAACCGAAGGGCAGAAUACAUUGCUGAGAGAGAAUGUAAGUGUGUGAAUGUAAGAAAGAGAAAGAAAUAGAGAGAAAGAGAGAGAGAGAGAGAGAGAGCGACCGAACGACCGAGCGAAAAGGGAGUAGGAGAAUGCACUUGUAUGAGAGAAAAAGAGAGAAAAAGAGAGAAAGAGAGAGAGAGAGAUAUGCUCGCAUACACGUGUUUGGUCGUUAAAUAUUUUAUGAAAUAAAAUUGAAGAGAGAGAGAGAGAGAGAAGAGAGAGAGAGAGAGAGAGAGAGAGAGAGAGAGAGGAAGCGUGCGUUAUGAUGUGUACGAAGCUGAUCGGAUUUCGAAAAGCGCAAGCGAUCAUCAUCGUUAAUAAGGAAAAAUAAUGUUUUUCUCUUCGAACUUCGGCUCGCGUCGAAAAAUAAACAUUUCGUUUCGCAUCAAUGAUUUUUCGAAAACAAAGAAAAAAGAAAUAUGGAGAAAAUAGAAAGAGAACAGCUUGGUGUACUUGGAGAAAUA